AUACGUAGGGUGCGAGCGUUAAUCGGAAUUACUGGGCGUAAAGCGUGCGCAGGCGGUUUUGUAAGACAGUGGUGAAAUCCCCGGGCUCAACCUGGGAACUGCCAUUGUGACUGCAAGGCUGGAGUGCGGCAGAGGGGGAUGGAAUUCCGCGUGUAGCAGUGAAAUGCGUAGAUAUGCGGAGGAACACCGAUGGCGAAGGCAAUCCCCUGGGCCUGCACUGACGCUCAUGCACGAAAGCGUGGGGAGCAAACAGGAUUAGAUACCCUGGUAGUCCACGCCCUAAACGAUGUCAACUGGUUGUUGGGAAUUUAUUUUCUCAGUAACGAAGCUAACGCGUGAAGUUGACCGCCUGGGGAGUACGGCCGCAAGGUUAAAACUCAAAGGAAUUGACGGGG
rnacentral:rRNA from 1 species